GCUCCUAUGGUCAGACUUUGACUACAAGCACAUAUAUCAGUGAAACUUCUUUUGCUAUACUCAUUGCUAUUUUGGGUCUGGUUUUGUUUGCACACUUAAUUGGAAAUAUGCAGAUCCGCCUUCUUUUGGCUAUCAGUUAAGACAUAGGAGAGGAAAAUCAGAAACUACUCGUGCUCAGUACAUAAACACAAAGGAUGUGAGGCUGACAAUAAGCACUUGGAAUGUUGCUGGAAGAGUUCCGGAUGAAAACCUUGAUAUUGAUGAUUGGAUUUCUUCAGAAGAGCCAUCGGACAUCUACAUUUUCGGGUGAAAACAGAAGAACAAAUGAGAUAUAAGUAUGGCGAGGCUUGCUUUCGUUUAUGUUUCUAGUAUUAUGUACCAUUUAGACUUAAAUUUUUGUUUUAUUUCGAC